rfam:Amborella trichopoda AMTR_V1.0_contig_26898, whole genome shotgun sequence.
UAUAUAUGUAUAGAUGUGUAUUUGUAUAUACACAUGUGUACACAUAUAUGUGUAUAUACACAUAUAUAUACAGGUAUAUUUUUAUACAUGUAUAUAAAUACAUGUAUGUAUAUACAUACAAACGUAUACAUAUAUUUGUGUAGCCGUUGCGCGAUAGCGCAUCCGUUUUCUUACUGUGAGCUAGUGAGAAAGUCGUCGCGCGGUAGCGCAUACGCUUUCUUGCUGGGUAAAAACCAAACCAACGAAUACAAGCAAGAGAACAGAUUCACGGCGCGUUAGCGCCCUUGCUUUUUUCUUUCGAGCCUACGCUUGCUAGCUUUUUGCUCUUGCAAAGCACUCACUCGUUAGAGAGAGUGCUUUGAUGUUGCUUCGCACUCAGUUCUAGCUUUUGGGCAAAAGCAAAAAGGGCUCUUGACUUCUAGGGCUUUGACAAGACUUAGCUAACCUAACGAUUGAACUAUGCAGCAAAAAGGGCUCUUUACUGCGUACUUGGUUUGGUUGCGCUUUGACGUUGCGCUAAUGACUGAACUCGCGGAGGCUUUGCUCAUUGCAUCUAAGCAGCACUCUAUUGGGCAGUAGCAAAAAGCCCUCAAGAGGGCUUUGACAAGACUUAGCUAACGACUGAACUCGCUGGGGCUCGUUAGCUACAAAGAAAAUAGCUUAUGAGGGCUUUGUAAAAAGCAAAGCUCUUGUUUGAGAGUGCCCAAAAAAGCACUCAUAAGCGACUUGCUUUUUAACAGCAAAAAGCCCUGCCAAUAGUUUGACCUUGCUACGUGGAGUAGACUGAAUGAGCUAGGCGGACACUGUGAAUUAUCUAAAGGCGAAGAUGGGCGAAGACUCGGCCCAGCGGGCGCUCUUUCCCAUAGGUGAGCUCCGGCUCCACACACCUGCUGACACCUUUAUAAGCACUUUCUAGUGUGAACCCUUCAGUCGCCUUUCUCAUUUAAGUGCUCGCCUUUUGAAUCUUCAGUAGGGCCUUUAAUCUUAGAUUAGGGGUCGCGAGAGAGCAGAGCGCACUGCCUUGCCAUAGUCGUGAGUCUGUUUAUAGUUGUGACUGUUGUCAUAUUCAUAAAGUCUUUCAACUUUCAGGAAAAAACUUCGAAUUGGGAGGGUGAUCCUUCCGGUGAACUGACCGUACCCCAAACCGGCACAGGUGAACAAGUUGAGUAUACUAGGGCGCUUGAGAGAACCAUAUCGAAGGAACUUGGCAAAAUGGUUCCGUAACUUCUAGAUAAGGGGUGCUCUCCUAUCUUUUGAGUAGGAUAGCGACACAUACCAGGGGGUAGUGACUGUUUAUUAAAAACAUAGGACUCUGCUAAGUGGUAACACGAUGUAUAGAGUUUGACACCUGCCCGGUGCUGGAAGGUCGGAAGGAGGAGUCUUAUAAUCUUUGAAUGGAAUCCGCGGUAAACGGCAGCAGUAACUCUAACUGUCCUAAGGUAGCAAAAUUCCUUGUCGCAUAAGUAGCGACCCGCACGAAUGGUGUAAUGACUGCCCCUCUGUCUCCGACAUGGACCCUGUGAAAUUGAUAUCUCUGUGAAGAUGCGAAAUACCAACAGCUAGACAGUAAGACCCCAUGCACCUUGACUAUAGCUUCGCAGUGACAACCUUGAUCAACUGUGUAGGAUAGGUGGGAGGUGGUGACACAGAUCUCCCAAUCCUGAAAGACUCUUUCAUCUAAGGAUGCCUAAACAUAUCACCCAUCAUUCUUGGGGGGCCGGCGUAGGACACUGUGAGGUGGGUAGUUUAUCUGCGGCGGAUGCCUCCUAAAGAGUAACGAAGGUGUGCGAAGGUAGGCUCAAGCUAAGAUUAUGCUCAUGAGUGUAAUGGUAUGAGCCUGCUUGACUGUGAGACCGAUUAGUCAAACAGAGACGAAAGUCAGCCAUAGUUAUUCGAAAGUUCCAUGUGGAAGGGCUCUUGCUCAACAAAUCAAAGGUACACCGGGGACAACAGGCUUAUGACUCUCAAGAGCUCUUAUCGAUGGAGUCGUUUGGCACCUCGAUGUCGACUCUUCACAUAAUGGGGUUGAAGAAGGUCCCAAGGGUUCGGUUAUUCGCGGAUUAAAGUGGUAUGUGAGUUGGGUUUAGAAUGUCAUGAGACAGUUCAGUUCCUAUCUACCGUUAUUGUUAAAGGGUGAACUAAGAGGAGCCAACCCUAGUACGAAAGGACUGGGUUGGGCCAACCUAUGGUGAAUUGGUUGUUAUGCCAAUAGCAGUGCCGGGCAGCUAAGUUGGUAUGGAAGAACUGCUGCGCCGCAUCUGAGCUAAGCUAUGGACUCACUCUCAAAGCAACAAGAGGAGUUUAUGUCAGUUUAAUCACUCAUUGUUUUAAACAUUGGAAAUCCUUCUCUAUACAAGUUCUUGUACAAGGUUUUUUAACAGAACUUCAAUAGGCGAGAAGUGUAAGCACCGCGAGGUGUGAAGUAAUCUCGUACUAAAUGAAACUACUUUCUCUU